AUCUGAUUGACACAGUUGGUAGUAACUCUACUUACUGUGCUGGAGGAGUGGGUUCGAUUCCCACACAAGAUA